rnacentral:misc_RNA from 1 species
AACGCACGAGACCUGCGGACCUGCGGAGGGAUCAUUAUCGAGUGUAACCUACCCUGUAAAAAAAGGGUGGUACCUCCCGUCCUUUGCAGGCCCUCUUUUAUGGGGGGGCUUUUUAAGACUUUCUGCUUCGGCGGGGUUACUCCCGCCGGAACACCCUCAAAAAACUCUUGAUCAAAAACCGUUCAGUCCGAGAAUUUUUGAAAAAUAAAAAAAACUUUCAGCAAUGGAUCUCUAGAUCGG